UACGGAGGGUGCGAGCGUUGUCCGGAAUCACUGGGCGUAAAGGGCGCGUAGGCGGCCUGAUAAGUAGGGGGUGAAAGUCCUGCGGCUUAACCGCAGGGCUGCCUUCUAAACUGUCAGGCGUCGAGCACAGUAGAGGCAGGUGGAAUUCCCGGUGUAGCGGUGGAAUGCGUAGAGAUCGGGAAGAACAUCAGUGGCGAAGGCGGC
rnacentral:rRNA from 1 species